rnacentral:lncRNA from 1 species
GCAAAGCAGUUUAAAUAAAACAGAUUAAAUGAUAACCCUAACCCUAACCCUAAAUUCGCACUGUUUCUUUUAAACAGCCUGGAAGCAGAAGAAAUCUCAGUUUAACGUUGGGAGAAAGUACAAGAAGUUCUCUCAAUCUCUGCAGAUGAGCCAGGUGUUGGCAAUCUGUGACAGAAACAUAUUGAAGAGAUUUGAUGAAUGAUGGAAUUAUAGACUGUGUCGACCUGGACCUGGACCUGUCAGCUAGUGAUUGAGAAUUUCUGUGGUGUUGGAGCUGUAAGCAACAAUCAGAAUCCCAUCAAAGGUACUACAAAUUAGAGAAAUCUGGAAAAAGUUCUUUUGUAAAAAAAAAAAAAAAUUUAUUUGAAAAAACA